rnacentral:misc_RNA from 1 species
UGACCUGCGGARGGAUYAUUAMACAAUAUGCAAGCGGGCUGGGAUCCCCGGGAGGGCGUCUAUUCUGCCGUUUCCGCCGCAUCUGCGGUGCUGAAGCGACAGGGCGGGCGUCUUUUCGGCCAGCCUGACUCCAUAUUCACCCAUGUCUUUUGCGUACUACUUGUUUCCUUGGUGGGUUCGCCCACCAACAGGACCAUUUAAACCUUUUUGUAAUUGCAAUCAGCGUCAGCAAAACAAUGUAAUAAAUUACAACUUUCAACAACGGAUCUCUUGGUUCUGGCAUCGAUGAAGAACGCAGCGAAAUGCGAUAAGUAGUGUGAAUUGCAGAAUUCAGUGAAUCAUCGAAUCUUUGAACGCACAUUGCGCCCUUUGGUAUUCCAAAGGGCAUGCCUGUUCGAGCGUCAUUUGUACCCUCAAGCUUUGCUUGGUGUUGGGCGUUUUUGUCUCUGGUCCGCCAGCGACUCGCCUUAAAAUCAUUGGCAGCCGGCCUACUGGUUUCGGAGCGCAGCACAAAUUUGCGCUUCUUCCAGCAGCGGUCCGCGUCCAUGAAGCCACUUUUUCAACGUUUGACCUCGGAUCAGGUAGGGAUACCCGCUGAACUUAAGCAUWMANNNAAANNCGGGAAGNAAA